UGAGGAAUAUUGGACAAUGGGCGCAAGCCUGAUCCAGCCAUGCCGCGUGCGGGAUGACGGUCCUAUGGAUUGUAAACUGCUUUUGUACAGGAAGAAACACUCCCUCGUGAGGGAGCUUGACGGUACUGUAAGAAUAAGGAUCGGCUAACUCCGUG
rnacentral:rRNA from 1 species